rnacentral:rRNA from 1 species
UACGUAGGGGGCAAGCGUUGUCCGGAUUUAUUGGGCGUAAAGCGCUCGCAGGUGGUUCGUUGCGUCGUGCGUGAAAGACCCCGGCUCAACUGGGGGAUGUCGUGCGAUACGGGCGGACUGGAGGCCAGUAGGGGGAUGCGGAAUUCCGGGUGUAGUGGUGGAAUGCGUAGAGAUCCGGAGGAACACCAAAGGCGAAGGCAGUGUCCUGGGGAGUACCUGACGCUCAGGUGCGAAAGCCAGGGGAGCGAACGGG